rnacentral:lncRNA from 14 species
UUCUCUACGAAGAAACAGCCAAGCUGGCAGUGGGCCGCCUCUCUGAGUACAGCCACCACUUCGUGAGUGCCUUCGUACGUGGGACCAGCGCAUACUUCCUGUUCUUGAGGCGAGACCUGAAGGCCCCUUCUCGAGCUUUCCGUGCCUACGUGUCCCGAGUGUACGUGGGACCAGCGCAUACUUCCUGUUCUUGAGGCGAGACCUGAAGGCCCCUUCUCGAGCUUUCCGUGCCUACGUGUCCCGAGUGUGCCUUCAGGACCAGCAUUACUACUCUUAUGUGGAAUUGCCCUUGGCCUGCCAGGGUGGCCGCUAUGGUCUUAUCCAGGCUGCAGCUGUAGCCACAUCCAAGGAGGCGGCCCGUGGGGAAAUACUCUUCGCAGCUUUCUCCUCAGUAGCUCCUCCUACUGUGGAUUGGCCCCUGUCAGCAUCUACUGGGGCAUCUGGAACCUCUGUGCUCUGUGCCUUCCCCCUGGAUGAGGUAGACCAGCUUGCUAAUGAUACUCGAGAUGCCUGUUACACCCGGGAAGGCCGUGCUGAGAAUGGGACCAAGGUGGCUGACAUUGCCUAUGAUGUCCUUUCCGACUGUGCACAGCUACCAGUGGACACCCCGGAUGCUUUUCCAUGUGGCUCGGACCACACACCCAGUCCCAUGGUCAGCUGCGUCCCUUUGGAAGCCACACCAAUUCUGGAGCUGCCAGGGGUUCAGCUAACUGCUGUGGCAGUCACCAUGGAGGAUGGACAUACUAUUGCUUUCCUGGGUGACAGUCAAGGACAGUUGCAUAGGGUCUACUUAGGCCCUGGGAGAAGUGCUGCCCCAUAUUCCAAACAGAGCA